UACGUAGGGGGCAAGCGUUGUCCGGAUUUAUUGGGCGUAAAGAGCGUGUAGGCGGCUAGGUAGGUCCGUUGUGAAACUCGAGGCUCAACCUCGAGACGUCGAUGGAAACCAUCUAGCUAGAGUCCGGAAGAGGAGAGUGGAAUUCCUGUGUAGCGGUGAAUGCGCAGAUAUCAGAGGACACAGCGCGAGCGGCGCUCUGGGCCGUACUGACACUGAGGAGCGAAGCGUGGUAGCAACAG
rnacentral:rRNA from 1 species